rnacentral:lncRNA from 1 species
GAUUCAGCAUUUCUAAUACAAUAAAGUGAAAUAAUGAAAGUAAAACAACAACAGGUUUGUGUGGGCUGGGAAAGGGAAAACGAGCACGUGCAUUGUCAGAAUUUCUGCAGAAAUUGCAGGGGGAAAGAAAACCUCAUGUAAGUGGCGCUUCCCUCUGUUCCCCACGGGGAAAAUUCCUCCUCUUGUUUUUAGUGUUCGCUACAUUUCCUUCUUUUAUUCUUUUUUCUGAUCUCGUCCUUUUGUUCCCCUUGUCUCCUCGGAUGCCCGUCCUUCGCGCCGCAGCGGGAGCUCCCGGAGCGGGGCCGGAGCGCGGCGGGCGCUGCAGGUGAGCGGGCGGCGGGGGCGGCGGGAGCCCGGGCUGGGGCCGCGGCCGUGCGGGCCCGGAGCGCUCCUGCCGCCCUGCCCUCCCUGCCUGCCGGCCCUGCCUCCCUCCAGGGACAGCAGCGCGGCUGUGAAGCCCCCGCCGGUGGCGCUCGGAGCUUUCUGCCUUGCUCAGGGCUGCGGGGGAGGAGGAGGAGGUGAGAUGGCAAACGUGCUCGCAGCUAUUUCUGCUGCAGCUUCCUGUCCUUGACCCAGCGAUACAUUGUGAAGUUCUCCUGAGUCAAUGAAUCCUGGUAAAAUGCAGUAAAGGAUUUAAGGUUAUCGUCUGUCUCUCUCUAACUUCUGACAUCUCUUUAUAACAAGAAAGAGUCACAGCCAACUGUAACAGGAGGGCAACACAAUGAAUCCUGGUAAGACAGGGAAGGGGGGAGGUUCAACUUUGCUGCCCCUUUGCCCCUAUUUCUUCCUCACAGAACAGAAGUGCCAUCUGUUACUGGUCCUAACAUGCAUACAUUUAAUUUCCAUUUGGUAAUAACUAUCACAGGAAAAAGAUUAUCAAGUGAUCUAAAGCACUAUCAGCAUUAGCACAUCUUCCCAUCCAGUGUUUUGUUUGUACCUCCAAAGAUGUAGCAGAUGAAAUGGAUAUGGGCAAGUGUCUUAAUUGCCUAGAAUUAUUUUGUUUUCUUGUAGAGGACCAUAUGGUCAAGGUGUGGAUUAUGACCAGACUGAGGAUAUGUGCUUAGGUCAGAAGACGAUUUAGAAAAAUCAAACAAGAGGACUGAUAUUUAUAUUCUUCAAUGUGAACACACUACUAAAUACUAAUAAGUAUUUAUUACUUGGUGUUGUAAUACAUCAUCAUAAUAAUGGAAAAUAAAAUCAUAGCAUGUUAUGUGAGGGUAGACGGU